rnacentral:rRNA from 1 species
GACGAACGCUGGCGGCGUGCCUAAUACAUGCAAGUCGAACGCAGGGGGGACGGGUGAGUAACACGUGGGUAACCUCCCAUCAGAGGGGAUAACACUUGGAAACAGGUGCUAAACCGAUAUUGAUGGAUGUACCCGCGGUUCAUUAGCUAGUUGGUGAGUGAACGGCUCACCAAGGCCACGAUGCAUAGCCGACCUGAGGGGAUGAGCAGCCACACUGGGACUGAGACACGGCCCAGACUCCGACGGGAGGCAGCAGGUGGGAAUAUUGCACAAUGGGCGCAAGCCUGAUACAGCCAUGCCGCGUGUAUGAAGAAGGCCUUAGGGUUGUAAAGUACUUGCAGCGGGUAGGCGUUACCCGCAGAAGAAGCACCGGCUAACUCCGUACCAGCCGCCGCGGUAAUAC